AAGUACAAACAGCAACUACAUCACCGCAACUUCCUACAGGAUCAAAAAAGACCUCUAAAACAGAAGAAUUGACAAAUAAUUUUACCUUGGCAUUGAAUAAAACAGAUAUUCAACAAGGUAGCUCUUUGCAGAACGUCGUCGAUUUGUUGCAAGAUACUCUGGCCAAGUACAAAGAUAUAUCCUUUACAGAAGUUAAAAAAAAUGUUAUAACCGAGCGGAAACGGAUAGAGUUGAUAUACACAACGGUAGAUGCCUUUGAGACCUUUGCUCUGAAGUAUGGCUGGUACCACCUCAACGAAUCAAGGCCAGUGUUAAGGGGGAAAUAUGAGAGAA